CGAACCUCUUUUCUUGUUUUUUUGGUUGUUUAUGUUUUUUUUCUCAUUCUCCUUUCUCCCUCUCGAGGAGGAGAGAGGCCUCACUGUGGGUGGGGAAGCCGAGCAGCCUCCUCCUCCCUCCCUCCCUAUCCCAGCCACUGCCGAACCACCCCUGGUGGUGACAGGGCCAGGGUGCCUAGGACGUGGGGAGGUCAGUGCGAUGCAGUGGCACGGAUGCCGGCGGCCAAUCCCUGGACGGCGUGGCGCCGGUGCGACCCGCGACCGUGAGCGUGCUUGCGCCAUCCAUGCGAUGGGCAAGGCGUCAGCGUGAUACCAACGCGUCUCGCUCGGCCCUCGCACUGCCUGCUGCUGGGGAGGCUGAGUGCCACCCUGCGAGGCGGGUGGGUGGGUAGAGUUUGGGUCAGGGGCCGUGCACAGAUGACUGGGUCGGCGCACUGCUGUGAUGCGUGUCUGCGGCUGCGUUGCACCGCGCGCUGGGUGCCUGUGGCAGACCCGGUAGAGUGGAGCUUAGCGCAUGUUGUGUGGCGCAGGAAUGGACACGUGGAAGCAAAACGCAAAAUGGUUUAUAAUGUGCGGACAUGUGCGCGUUCGCUUCCGCCGGACCCCUUUUUUUUGCCGGUGCAUGUGCACACGCAGAGGCAUGCGGACGCGCCGGCGGCAAAGUCUGAGACGUGCCAGGGCACCACACUAUUAUGUGAUUCCCCCUUGUGAUUUAUGCGCGUGUGCGUGGGUGUGGGGGUGCGCGUGCCCGACUCCUCCUCACUCUGCCGCUCCUCCUCGUUGCUACAUUGCUCGCUCUCUUCGGACCUUCCGUUUUGUUUUGCUCCUGCCUUCCUUGCAUGGGCUCCCGUCCUCUGCGUCCGCGUGUUCCCACUGCACGUUGGGCUCUCUGUUGUUUGAGCCAUCUCGCUCACCUCUCUCUUGUUCCAG
rnacentral:misc_RNA from 1 species